rnacentral:ncRNA from 1 species
AAGAGCCCGGUGCGGGAAAUCCGCACGCCGGGUUCUGUGGGGGUUUGAGUCGCCAAUUGGGCGACCUUUCUACCCGGAG